UUAAAAACACGUGCAGAGCAAGAUAUUAGCAUGAAAGAAAGGGGAAACUCAUUGGCCUACCAAAAAUUUUGUAUUGUUGUGAAAGCAACAACAGGACUCCUGAAUACUUUUGAAGGAAACCAUAUGUCAAAUACAUUUUCUAUACUCUGGACCAAUGGAAGGAUCCCUUACUAGAUUCCAUAAUUUGAUCUGUAACCUUGAAGAAGACAAACUCAACCAGGAUAUUGACUAUUAAUUACAAUGCUACCCAACCUCAUAGAGAAAUUUCCCAAUCAGGAUAUUCACCUGUCUUUUUGAACCUGCUCUAAGAUUUCUGAUAAUUGUAUAAGUUAGGACCUAGACAUUUCCAGAAGUUGACUUUGAUCAAUAACUAACUAGAAGAAAUAAAUAUACUAGUAACAAGUAAAUUUAUUAGGAACCAGAGUAACAAAACUAGAUGAACAUCACAACUCUAUUAGGGUAAUUUAAAAAGAAUUUCAGUUUAAUUAGUUAUCUUACUUCGUCAGUUUUUAAAAUGCAUGGAAUUUCUUCUUAUUAUAGUAUAUAAGUAAAGAAGUAGUAUAGUUAUUUAGUUUUUUAUAACAAAGUAAUGCUAACAUGUUUCCUACACAAUUUAUAUUACUUUCUUAAAAGUAAGAACACUUUUUGCAAGAUGUUAGGUAAUGAAAAUUCUUGAUUUUGGGCGUUAAGGAAGGAUGCCUUGUAUUGUUUUGCAGAAUGAUUAUUUUAUGUCUCUGUGUUUAUUAUAUAUUAAGAACAUCAUGUGCUUUAAGUUGGUGUAAAAUUUAUUAAGAUACCUUACUUAAAUAUUUUUUAAUAAUUUUUUGAAAAAGGAUGAAAUUUCUAAUUUUUAUAAACUGACCUUGCUGAAUCUGGUCUCGCUAAUUACUUUCUUUAUUAAUUCUUUACCUGCUUAUUUUAUAUUAACAUGGUUUGAAUUUCCUUUCUUAGAACAUUUAUAUUAUUAAUGUGGCUUAAUUAGUUGAUUUUCUAUGAUUUUUUAAAAAUGACUGUAAAUUAACUUUUUGUCUCCCUUUUCGUACUUCGGUAAAAUUGUGCUUUGGCUCAUUUUUAUGUGAAUAAAUUUU